CCAUCAGGUCAGGCUGGGCACUCUGGGGACACUGCCACCGUAAGGUGUGAGGAAGGUGGGGAUGACGUCAAAUCAGCACGGCCCUUACGUCCGGGGCUACACACGUGUUACAAUGGCAGGUACAGAGAGAUGGUGUUCUGCAAAGCGCAUCUAAUCCUUAAAGCCUGUCUCAGUUCGGACUGGGGUCUGCAACCCGACCCCACGAAGCUGGAUUCGCUAGUAAUCGCGCAUCAGCCAUGGCGCGGUGAAUACGUUCCCGGGCCUUGUACACACCGCCCGUCAAGCCAUGAAAGCCGGGGGCGCCUAAAGUCCGUGACCGUAAGGAGCGGCCUAGGGCGAAACUGGUAAUUGGGGCUAAGUCGUAACAAGGUAGCCGUACCGGAAGGUGCGGCUGGAACACCUCCUUU
rnacentral:rRNA from 1 species